rnacentral:rRNA from 2 species
GUGCGAACAGGUGAGGAAACCCGAGAGCUAAGUUUUGGGGCGGGGCUGGAGUCGUAUUAGGUCGAAGGUGGUAUAAAAGACCACCUUGCCCAGGAUGCGUGGCUUUAAACUGGAAGCCAUCUUUUCACUGAAGCAAAGGGAGGGCUCAAAAAGGGAGCGAAAAGCUCCUGAGGCAGCAGUAUAUAACUUUAUGCAAUGUACGAAAGUGCGACAUAGAAGGGGCGUAUAACUUAAUCUGUCUAAUUAAGUGCCAGCAGACGCGGUGAAACUUAAGGAUUAGUAUUAUAGGAAAAAGCGUAAAGGGUGUGAGGGGCUUAUCCCAACAAGAGGGUAAAUGGAAUUUUUCUGUAGGGGUAGAAUGUGUAGAUAGAAAAAAGAACUCUAAACGCGAAGGCAAUUUAUCUCAUGGGUGGUACGCCAACUGCUCCGUUGUUACACGAAAGUAUGGGGAGCAAACAGGAUUAGAGACCCUGGUAGUCUAUAUUGUAAAUAAUGAAGAAGAUGUGAGGCAAUCCUAAAGGGUAAUAAAUUUUUCGCUUGAGUAGUAUGAUCGCAAGAUUUAAAUUCAAAAAACUUGGCUGCUCACUGCUAUGAUCAGAGGAGCGUGUCGUUUAAUUCGAUAGUCCGCGAGAGACCUUACCCAAACUUGAAUUCGCCCUUUAACAGGUAUUGCAUGGCCGUCGUCAAUUUGUGUAUUAAAUGUAAAACGGAUUCAACCCAGUGGUUGGCAACCCCUCGUCUUCGGAGCGGUGCCAUUAUUGGAUGAAGUCAGGUCUUAUUGUCCUAAUGUUUGGGGAUUAGAUGCGCUACAUUUUCUUAUACAAUGGGAGAUUUUGAAGGUGGAACCCUAAAGUAAGAGUUCGGGAGGUGGCUGGAAGAUAACUGAAAGUGGGAUUUGAUAGUAAUUAGAAAGUAGAGCGUUCUGGUGAAAUUGAUGCAGUGUUAGUACAAAUAGCCCGUCGCCUUGGUCAAGAAUGGGUACUCAAAUGC